UGUUUCGAAUUUAGUGCUUAGAGUUUAGAAUUUCUGCGCAGAGCGCAGUCGGGUACCUGCUGAACUGAAACAUCUUAGUAAGCAGAGGAAAAGAAAACAACAUCCCCCUUUGGGGGAAGUGUGUCUUUGGUUUUUCUUAAUGCAAAAUAAUAAAUUUAAUAUUUUUGAAUUUUGAUUUUUGCAUUUUGAUUUUGUGCCAAAGGUGCAUUGUGAUUCCCAGAGUAGUGGCGAGCGAAAUGGGAAAAGUUCUGAUUGUGAGAAAUCUAAUUUAUUAGUUGAAUGAAUCUGGAAAGGACGACCAUAGAGGGUGAUAGUCCCGUAAACAAAAAUAUUUUAGUUUUUCAAACAAUUGUUCUAAAUUGAUUUAUCAUUUUAGGGCUGAGUACUGUCGGACACGUGAAACCUGGCAGGAAUAAACGAGGAUCAUCUCGUAAGACUAAAUACAUCUUCUAACCGAUAGUGAACUAGUACCGUGAGGGAAAGGUGAAAAGUACCCCGCAACGGGGAGUGAAAUAGAACCUGAAACCAUAUGCUUACAAGGAGAUAGAGCCGUGCACAGCACGGAAAUUCGAAGCACGAAUAUCAAAAUUCUAAACAAAAUCAAAAUUCUAAAUUCAAAAUCUUAAACUGUUUUGAAAAUUAGGAUUUAUAAUUUGUUUAGGAUUUAGUAUUUCGGAUUUCGGAUUUGCCUGUUGUGCAGGGUGAUAUCGUGCCUUUUGAAGAAUGAGCCAACGAGUUGUCGAUUAUUGCAAGCUUAACCCCGCAAACGGGGGUAGGCGUAGCGAAAGCGAGUACUAACUGUGCGACAUACAAGUAAUAAUUGGCAGACCCGAAACCGGGUGAUCUACCCAUGAGCAGGAUGAAUCCACUGUAAAAGGUGUGAGGAGGUCCGAACCUACCAGCGCUGUAAAGCUGGGGGAUGACUUGUGGGUAGGGGUAAAAUGCCAAUCGAACCCGGAGAUAGCUGGUUCUCCUCGAAAUAUAUUUAGGUAUAGCGCCCAUCGAAAGCUGGCGGGUAGAGCACUGGUUUGCGUUCGGCGGCGAAAGCUGUCGGCACGAGUCAAACUCCGAAUAGUCAGUGUUAUUUGAUGAGGCAGUCAGUCCGUGAGGGCUAAGCUUCAUGUGACGAGAGGGAAACAACCCAGAUCGCCAUCUAAGGUCCCUAAAUCUAGCUAAGUGGGAAAGGAAGUUAAUUUCCCCAGACAACCAGGAGGUUGGCUUAGAAGCAGCCAUCCUUUAAAGAGUGCGUAACAGCUCACUGGUCGAUUGGAAAUUAGCGCCGAAAAUUUAACGGGGCUAAGCUAGAUACCGAAGAUGCGAAUACCCUGCUUUGCACGGAAAUCCGAAAUUCGAAAUCUUAAAUCCUAAACAAAUUAUAAAUUCAAAAUCUUAAAAUUCUAAACAAAUAAAUUGUUUUGAAAAUUACUAUUUUGAGAAUUUGAUAUUGUUUUGAAUUUAGUGCUUAGAAUUUAGAAUUUCCCUGCAGAGCAGGGUGUGGUAGAGGAGCGUCCCAACGACGUUGAAGCGGAAACGUGAGUAACCGUGGAGUAGAUUGGGAGUGAGAAUGUUGGCAUGAGUAACGAAUUAGUCAGAUGAGAAUUCUGACCACCAAAUAUCUAAGGUUUCCCCCGCAACGAUCAUCGACGGGGGGUUAGUCGGGAGCUAAGGCGUAUAAAGCGUCGAUGCACAACAGGUUGAUAUUCCUGUACCGAUCUAAAUUUGAUUUGUAGUGACGCAUUGUCAAGCUUGGUAGCAGUUUUGGAUAUAUUGCUAUUAGGGGAGAUGGUGACAAGAAAAACUUCAAAUCGUUAAGUUUAGAUUGUCCGUACCGUAAACCAACUCAGGUAGAUGGGGCGAGAAGCCCAAGGUGAUCGAAAGAACCCUUCCUAAGGAACUCGGCAAAAAAGCGAUCGUAACUUAGGGAUAAGGUCUGCCCCGUUUCGACGGGGCCGCAGCGAAAGUUUUUCAGGCGACUGUUUAUCAAAAACUUAGGUCCGUGCAUAAUGCUUAGUGCUGAAGUAUACGGGCUGAUGCCUGCCCAGUGCCGGUAGGUUACGGAGAGGAGUGAUAUUUGACGCAAGUCAGAUUGAGCUUCGAACUUAAGCCCCGGUAAACGGCAGCGGUAACUAUAACCGUUCUAUGGUAGCGAAAUUCCUUGUCGGGUAAGUUCCGACCCGCACGAAUGGCAUAACGGUCUGAAAACUGUCUCGGGAAGGGGUUCGGUGAAAUUACACUACCGGUAAAGAUGCCGGUUACCCGCAGCAAGACGGAAAGACCCCGUGGAGCUUUACUAUAACCUGGUAUUGUUUUGUUUUAUUUUCUGCUGAGGUUAGGUGGGAGGGACGUGCCUCGCACGGAAUUUCUAAUUUCUAAUUUCUAAUUUCUAAACAAAUUCUAAUUUUCAAAACCCCAAUGUCUAAAACAUUGUGUGUUUGAAUUUAGAUAUUAUUUAGGAUUUAGGAUUUAGGAUUUAGGAUUUCCUUGCGGGGCAUGCCCCG
rnacentral:rRNA from 1 species